rnacentral:piRNA from 1 species
UCCUGUGCAGUAUGACCGUGAUCAGUUC